UACGGGGGGAGCAAGCGUUGUUCGGAUUUACUGGGCGUAAAGGGCGCGUAGGCGGCCACCGCAAGUCGAUUGUGAAAUCUCCGGGCUUAACCCGGAAAGGUCAACCGAUACUGCGGGGCUAGAGUGCAGAAGGGGCAACUGGAAUUCCUGGUGUAGCGGUGAAAUGCGCAGAUAUCAGGAGGAACACCGGUGGCGAAGGCGGGUCUCUGGGCCGAUACUGACGCUGAGGAGCGAAAGCGUGGGGAGCGAACAGG
rnacentral:rRNA from 1 species